rnacentral:tRNA from 1 species
GUAAAGGUAGCAUAAUUUUAUGUGUUUGAUUUAGGCUCGAGAGAUGUUGGUUUGACUCCGACCUUUUACU